ensembl:lncRNA
GAGCUGGAAAGCUAUCUCUCGGCAGACCUGAUGGUGUCUGUCUCCAGAUUGCUCCUCCUCUGGCAUUCCCCAUCCCAGAACCACAAUCCAGGGGAGCCCCAACUUCUCCCCACUCACCCAGGAUGAGUCCGACAAAGUCCCAAGGACUCUGCCUCCAAAAUUGAUCUUGAAUCAGCUCAUCCUCUCUUCUGCUUAGCCCAGAAAGACUUACCUUAUCUCUCACCUCGAGUCUUCAUCUUUCUGACCGUUGGCUUAAACCUUUGUCACCGGACCCCAACGUCGGUUGAGUCAGUCUCCAACAAGGGUUUUCCUGCCUGGUGUUCUUUAAGCCAAUUAACGGGACCAAAUUUGGUUCAGGAGCCAAGGAAAGCUUUCUUUUUUGGACAGAAACAGCUCCCAGCGGGCUCUAAAGCAUACCCAGCCAUGCACCUGAGGCUCCCGGCUCCCCGUGGUCCCCACGUGCUCCUGGACAGGCUGUGGGAGGGGCUACUGUGUAGGGAUCUCCUGGCGGAGGGGGCGGAGUUCCCUGCGGCUGGAGACCGGUGCUCUGCUGAGGCUCCAGGCAGCGUCUCCGCACACAGCGGCCACCACCAUCCUAGACUGAGUGUGGUGAGCAGUGCUUCUCCAAACGGCCUGGAGCUGAGACGUCAGUACUAGGGGCUCUGGCCCCCGGUGCUUGGGGCAAAGCGUCUACAGGCAGCCCUCUGUGAGCAAGUGAAAGGGACUGAACACAAAGGACUAAAGAAAGCCAAAAAGGAGAAGUUUUUGGACUUCCUGCUGGUUAAGAGCUUAGAGCAAGAGGGGUUCCCACGGGCACUCACCGGAUCACCAGGGCAGCUGGAAAGCUGUGGUGAUACCUAGAGAUACUAGCAAAAUACAGCAGCUGCACCAUGUCCAUAGGAACGAGAUGUCCACUUAAUUAAAGCAUGGCCAGGCGGCGGGCGUCUUCUGCAGGGGGAGACUCAGCAUACUGGGUACUGACCGAACCAGACCUGCUGCCAAGAGAAAGCGUGGUCAGCAGGGAGCACCAGCUUGCCUCUCCAGGAAGAUGGGCUCCAGAGCCUACUUGGGUGAAAAAAGAAAAGGAAACUGGUAGGGUGAGAGGAAAAGGAAGAAUUGGGGAAUACAUUUAGCUGCUUAUCACCUGCUGAGGGAACUUCUAAGAACCAAUGUCCGAUUUCACUCUGCAGUCCUGAUGCCAUUGGUCUGGAGCAUGGCCUGGACAGCAGGAAUUUUAAAAGCCGCUCAGGACAUUCUGAAGUUUAAAGAAGGUGUAAAACUGGGGAAAGUAGAGCUCCAGGUAUCCGUGUGGAUUUGAGCAACAAUCUUCCUUACCAAAUUGCCGGCUUGGAUAAUCAUGUCUCAAGCUUCAAAGAUGGAGCAUAAUGUGGUGGUUGAAGAACUAAUCUUCCUUAUUUUGGAUUCUAGAUCUGCUGUUUACAAACCGUGUGACCCUGGCCAUGAUACUUAAUAUCACUGAGUCUCAGUUCUCUUGUCUCUUAAGUGGGUAUAAGUGUGGCAACUAUGAUUAUGAUGCUAUUAUGAUGUUUAAGGGAGAUGAUCCAUGUAAAUAAUUUAAGCUUAGGUUUUCUCAUAUAGCCUUUUCUCCCAGUAAAGACUGAUUAAAAUGAAAUUUAAACUUCAUAUGGUUCUAAGUGACCUCUCUUGAUUUAUUCUGUUGGUGUAGAUGGGAACUGGCUUGUUCAGAAACCUCCCUGGAUGAUUCUAACGUUCAGCUGGGGUCGAGGAGCAAUCUUGGUGUCUGAUUCUGCUUUCCCUGUUCUCGUAGGAGCUUCCCAGGUACCUCUCUCAGUGGUCUAGUCCUCAGGCUUGUUUCAGGGCCACUUCUAAACAGCUUUGAAUCCACAUAGUUUUCCUUUUGCUUUUAUAAUUCUUGUGUUUUUUUAAUCAGAGUAAAUGUGGAUUAUUACUUCUAUUUCAUUGUUUUUAUUUUUCUAAUGGCCAUUUUCCCCGAUUUUAAGAACCCAUGUUUAUUUUAUUCCCCACACAGAGACAAAAUAAUGAAAAUAUUAUAUUUUUGUCCAAAUUUCUAUGUAUCAUGUGUCUAUAAAUGGAAGUUUUAAAAUUGCAAAGGUAGUUUUGAAAGUUGCUUCUUUUGCUUCACCUUAUAUCAUAAGCACAGUCUCAAAUGCUACGGAUUUUUGGAAGUAUAAUAAUUUAUUCUGUUUGUCAUUCUGAUGUAUCCCACUGUAUUUUACCAUUCCCUUACUAUCAGCAGUAUUGGUUUCCUUGGGCUGCCUGAACCAAAUACCACAGACUGGGGUGGCUUAAAACAACAGAUAUCUAUCCCCUCAGAGUUCUAGAGGUUAGAAGUCUGCAGAAGGUGUAGGCAUGCUUGAUUCCUCUGGAAACUCAGAAGAAGAAUCUGUCCCCUGCUGCUCUCCCCACUUCUGGAAGUUGCCCCAGCCUCUGGUGCCCCUGGGCUUGUAGACACAUCACUCUAUUGUGUCUCCCUCUUCACGUGCUUUUGUGUCCCUCUGUGUCUCUGAGUCCAAGUUUCCCUCUUCUUAUAAGCUCCUCUCUGACCCAGCAUGACUUCUUCUUAACUUGGGUUAUAUCUGCAAAGACCUUAUUAUAAAAUAAGAUCACUGUUACAGGUACUGAGAGUUAAGAAUUGUAUUGUUUUGAGGGACGUGAUUCAACCAGGUAUAUCAGCCAUUUAUGACUUCCAUCUGCCUUUUUAAGGGACCAGUAAAGGUUUACCCAACAAUACUGGUCUUCUCAAUACUUCUACAUUUCAGCUCUUUAUAGUUUCCCGCCCUGCUGUGAGUUCACACAGGUGCUGAGGAAGCCAGGCCAAGGGUAGAAAUGGGGCCGAGUGUUCACUUCUGUCCUCCCUAGAUGCCCACCUUCCCUGGAGCAAGCUGGGUGCCUGUCUGGGAAGUCCAGGAGGGGCGGGCUGAGGCAGGGAGGGAGCCACAGGUGGUGGGAGCAUGGCUUCCUGCAGCUGCCUGGCCACCUGGCUGGACAGCUGUUCUCCCGACCAGGGAGCUGUGGAUGGCAGGGCUGCCUGGCUUAUCACGGCCUCGGAGAGUUACAUGAUGCCAAAAUGCCUGGUCGAAUCUGUCAGUUCUUGUGAGCAGCCGUUUUAGGGGGUGGAGGAGUGGCACCGGGGGCAUGGAAUCUCCAAACUGAUUGUUUAUAGUGCCUGCUCAGUUUAGACAAGUAUUGACCCGAGGACACCCGCAGUCACUGGUUCAGCUGGGAUUGUCUGUUCCAGGGGUCAGCUUACUACACCCUGCAGGUCAGGCCUGGCACACUGCCUGCUGUGUACAGGGAGCUAAGAAUUGCCUUUACAAGUGAACAUCUGCAAUUGAUUUGAUGAUGGGAGCCCUGACUUUGAAUCCCAAGUAAACAAAAACGUUCGUUAUCCUCCACCCUCAAUGAAUUUCAUUCUUCUCACGAUUAGAUCUUUAUUAUAAAAAAUUCAUACUC